rnacentral:rRNA from 1 species
AGCGAUGGUCUGAGACUUGUGACUUACGUGCAUGUCGCGGGUGCCUCCUUGCGAGGUACGUUCCGCGGGCACGCGUCCGCUGCGGUUAUGUCCGAUUACGACGACGUGCACUUCUCCUCUAGUAGAACGUCGCGACCCGCUGAGUGUUGGUUU